GAGUUUGAUCCUGGCUCAGAGUGAACGCUGGCGGUAGGCCUAACACAUGCAAGUCGAACGGCAGCACAGUAAGAGCUUGCUCUUAUGGGUGGCGAGUGGCGGACGGGUGAGGAAUACAUCGGAAUCUACCUUUUCGUGGGGGAUAACGUAGGGAAACUUACGCUAAUACCGCAUACGACCUUCGGGUGAAAGCAGGGGACCUUCGGGCCUUGCGCGGAUAGAUGAGCCGAUGUCGGAUUAGCUAGUUGGCGGGGUAAAGGCCCACCAAGGCGACGAUCCGUAGCUGGUCUGAGAGGAUGAUCAGCCACACUGGAACUGAGACACGGUCCAGACUCCUACGGGAGGCAGCAGUGGGGAAUAUUGGACAAUGGGCGCAAGCCUGAUCCAGCCGUACCGCGUGGGUGAAGAAGGCCUUCGGGUUGUAAAGCCCUUUUGUUGGGAAAGAAAAGCAAUCGAUUAAUACUCGGUUGUUCUGACGGUAC
rnacentral:rRNA from 1 species